CAGCUGAAAGUAAUUGGAGGCAGCUGAGGAAAGAGUGAGGGCGAUUUCCCUGUUCCUCUAUCUCAACAGCAGUAAGCCCGAGAUGAAAGACUUAUUGAGCAGUUUAGGUAAGGAAGAAAGCAAAGUAUUUUGGUUAGGAGAAGAAAUAACAGAGAGUUCCUAUGCGAUCAGGAGAAAAGUUGUGCCUUAGAGUAUUAUUAUUUAUUUAUUUUUAACCUUUUCUUCCCCUUUACUGAAGAGACAAAGGCUCUCACUCCUCUGGAAAGAUAGAAAUUUCCUGCAAAUGUACAAGCAGGGAAAGGGCAUUUAUCAGUGGUCAAAGAGUUCAUUUUAUAUGCUACUCUGUGAUGAAUGAAUUCUUAACAAGUAGCAUGGAACUAAUCCAAGAUCCAGAUCAUCAUUUAUGUGCGGAGGAUAGUGUGCCAGUAGUGGCAGCACAGCUCUUAUGGGAGAUAUACUUGGACCUGGUCAUCUUUAAAAAGGAGACAAGCUGGUCAGAUCUCUUGCCAGUAGGAUCUGGGACUCUGUCUGCUCCUCUCAUACAGGACUGCCUUAAACAUUGAGCUAUGAGAAGAUUCCUCUAAGUUCUUUCUUCCUCACUCAUUGAUUUACACAUCCUUCUGCAGAGACAUCUGCCUUCAGCGUGGUUUGAAGAAUAGGUCUUCUCCCCACUCACAGACUAUUCUCUAUGCAUUCCUCUAAGCAACAGGGCCUGUUUGGUCCAUAUUGGUCUUGGUAAGGUCACUUCAUAGACAGUUUCCCUCUCCUGGCCUUAUCCUCUAUCUGAUUAUUUUAAAUAGUGAACCUCUUCCAACAGAUUAUAAAAUGGACCAGUACUCACCCAUUAUCUUCAUGAAAGAAAGGUUGUGCCUAUCCUCUCUAGGGAGAGGCAAUUGGAUCUGGAAACAG
rnacentral:lncRNA from 1 species